rnacentral:rRNA from 1 species
UACGAAGGGGGGCUAGCGUUGUUCGGAAUUACUGGGCGUAAAGGGCGCGUAGGCGGUACUUCAAGUCAGGCGUGAAAUCCCCGGGCUCAACCUGGGAAUUGCAUUUGAGACUGAAUAGCUAGGGUGCGGAAGAGGGAAGCGGAAUUUCCGGUGUAGCGGUGAAAUGCGUAGAUAUCGGAAGGAACACCAGUGGCGAAAGCGGCUUCCUGGUCCAGCACCGACGUCAGGCACGAAAGCGUGGGGAGCAAACAGG